UGAGCGGCUGAGGGCAGUGGGAAGGAUCAGGUGGCUGAUGGAAUUCAUGGGGUCUCAGUGCAAAUUCCAGGAAGUGGAGGAGUUCAGAGUCCUGGGCCAGCUGGUGGGGUGUCUCACUCUGUGCUGUGUGGAGCAGGAGCAGGAGAUCUGGCAAUCGGCUGUGGAGGGACUUCACCACCUCUUCUCCUUCAUGCAGCUGCUAAAAUGGUCAGCCAAAAUGCUGGUGAAGCACGGCGCAGAGUAUCGGCAGAUCCUCAAGGACAGUCAAACUGAGAGAGCCUUCUGGGUCACCAACAUCAGCAAUAUCACAUCGCUGUUUGGGAAGUACUUCAACCCAUCCGAGAGCAUGGACUUCCUCCUCGUUGCUAUCGACGGCGUGAGAGACUCCAGCGUCCAUGACGCAGUGACGGCCAGGAACAUGCUGCAUAAGAUCCUGGAGGUUCCCGGCCUAGGCUUGGUGAGGGCCACAAGAGCCCUAUAUGUGAUCCUGCAGGAGCAGGCCUGCAGGCAGGAAGUGAAGGAGCUCUUCCCUCAGCUCUACGUCGCGCUGCUCUUCCACGUCACCCACACAGUGCAGCACACUGCUUCGCAGGAGAGGGAGCAUAACCAGGAGGACACAGCCGCACCCCUCAGCCCCGUCAGGUUCGCGGUGAAGGCCAUGGAAGCUUUGCUUCUAUGCGCUGGCUACAAGGAGCAGGCCACCUUCAUGAUGAAGCAUGGCCGCUGGGACCUGCUCAUGAGCUCCGACACGCACCACAAAGGUGUCUGCCUGCUUGCCCGGGCCAUGGUUUCGCUCAAUGUCGAGGAGCGAAACUGGAUUUUCCACCAUGUCAUGGCCAUCCUCAACGAUCGGGACGAUAGGUGGUACGUCCCGGCCGUGGCGCUCUUCAUUCAGCUCCUCAAGUGCCCUGACCUUGGCAGCGAGCUGGAAGACGCCAUCGUGGAGGAGAUGAGCGGGCUGCUGAGAGACCCCAAGACCGUGGUGCGCUGGUUGGCGCUCAAAGGCCUCCUCAAUCUGGCCCUUCACCCAGAGAAGGUGGGGAAACUCCAGCAUCUGCUGCCAGAUGUCCUGGAGCGACUCCAGGAGGUAGACAGAGACCUCAUCCGCAAGGCCAUCACCGUGCUGAAACACCUCCUCGCCGGCAUGGACAGGCAGAGCGCCAGCUGCGCGGCUGUGCAAGUGGCUGCGCAACUCCUGCCGUUGUUUCAUGAUGUAAGGCCUGGCAGCUCACAGGAGAUCCCAUCAAACUGCAGACAUGUGACCAGCAAGCUCCAGGUGCUCUCCAUCACCCUUUUUAAAGACCUGCUGGAGCUUGUAAGGGGGCCCAACCGGAGGCAGAUGAAGGAGCAUGUGCUCCAGAGCCUGGUCCCACUGCUCCUCCUUGUGCAUGAUGAGCGUCCCAACGUGUCCCAGGUGUGUUGGGACACCCUCAGCAGUGCCGCCCAAUUCCUGAGGUGGCACCAGCUCAGUGGCCUCAUCCAGCACAAGGAAACCUGGCGAAGCUGUGACUGCCUGGUGAUCCACUACAAGGAGAGAGCUGAUGACUUCCUGGGCCAGACCAUGGCCUUCCUGCAGAACCCACAGACUCCAGUUAGGGAAGCAGCCAUCAGGUUCCUAGGGCUCACUGCCCGGAAGCUGGACCAGGGGAGCCAGGACAAGCUGGACGCCAUCUGCGACAACCUCAAAGGCUUGCAGCAGGACAGCAAGUCCUCAGUCCGAUGCCUGGCUUCUCAGACCAUCUUCAUCCUGGAGGCCUUCAAGAACCAGCCUCCAGCCUGCUGCAGCCUAUGGACAUUGGUCCAUAGGAUAAGAACAAUGUGCACUGCGGAGAGCCAGCUCAUUGAAGCUGCCCAGCUGCCCUAGGUCUGGGAAAAGCCAGCCUCCCUUCUCUGGGGGCUUGGUGCAUCAGAGCCCACCUGGAGCAAGGUGGAACACAUGGCUUCUUCCCAACUGGCUGCCUGCCCUGCCCAGCCAUUAUGUGAAGUUUCUGCAAAAAUGGGCGAGGAAGCGACGACAGAGCGAUUACUGUACUGAUGAGGACAUGGACACCUCUGUUCCUAGAAGCACAGCAUGCAGCGAUUGGGAGAUCAUGGUGGUGUUGGGCCAGGUUCAUGCCGUGGAACGCCAAUUUUGGGCCCAGGAAACAAGCACA